CCUACGGGAGGCAGCAGUGGGGAAUUUUGGACAAUGGGCGCAAGCCUGAUCCAGCAAUGCCGCGUGCAGGAUGAAGGCCUUCGGGUUGUAAACUGCUUUUGUACGGAACGAAACGGUUCGCUUUAAUACAGUGGGCUAAUGACGGUACCGUAAGAAUAAGCACCGGCUAACUACGUGCCAGCAGCCGCGGUAAUACGUAGGGUGCGAGCGUUAAUCGGAAUUACUGGGCGUAAAGCGUGCGCAGGCGGUUUUGUAAGACAGAUGUGAAAUCCCCGGGCUCAACCUGGGACCUGCAUUUGUGACUGCAAGGCUAGAGUACGGUAGAGGGGGAUGGAAUUCCGCGUGUAGCAGUGAAAUGCGUAGAUAUGCGGAGGAACACCGAUGGCGAAGGCAAUCCCCUGGACCUGUACUGACGCUCAUGCACGAAAGCGUGGGGAGCAAACAGGAUUAGAUACCCUGGUAGUCCACGCCCUAAACGAUGUCAACUGGUUGUUGGGUCUUCACUGACUCAGUAACGAAGCUAACGCGUGAAGUUGACCGCCUGGGGAGUACGGCCGCAAGGUUGAAAACUCAAAGGAAUUGACGG
rnacentral:rRNA from 1 species